rnacentral:rRNA from 1 species
GAUGAACGCUGGCGGCGUGCCUAAUACAUGCAAGUCGAGCGAACAGACGAGGAGCUUGCUCCUCUGACGUUAGCGGCGGACGGGUGAGUAACACGUGGAUAACCUACCUAUAAGACUGGGAUAACUUCGGGAAACCGGAGCUAAUACCGGAUAAUAUAUUGAACCGCAUGGUUCAAUAGUGAAAGACGGUUUUGCUGUUACUUAUAGAUGGAUCCGCGCCGCAUUAGCUAGUUGGUAAGGUAACGGCUUACCAAGGCAACGAUGCGUAGCCGACCUGAGAGGGUGAUCGGCCACACUGGAACUGAGACACGGUCCAGACUCCUACGGGAGGCAGCAGUAGGGAAUCUUCCGCAAUGGGCGAAAUCUUGCCGGAGCAACGCCGCGUGAGUGAUGAAGGUCUUCGGAUCGUAAAACUCUGUUAUUAGGGAAGAACAAAUGUGUAAGUAACUAUGCACGUCUUGACGGUACCUAAUCAGAAAGCCACGGCUAACUACGUG